rnacentral:rRNA from 1 species
AUGGUUCUUGGAGCGUUCUUUGCAACUGCAGCCUCGGUGCCAUGGAGACGGAGCCUCCUCCUGCUCCCGACCCUUGCGCUCCUGUGGCAGCUCUGCCGGUUGCUGCACCGGCUGUGGUGGCGGCCGCGGUGCCUCGAGCGGGAGCUCCGGUCCAAGGGCCUCCGCGGCACGUCCUACCGCUUCCUCACCGGCGACCUCAGGGAACAGGGCCGGCGGAACAAGGACGCCUGGUCGAGGCCGCUGCCGCUGCGGUGCCACGACAUCGCCCCUCGCGUGGCACCACUCCUCUGCGAUUCCGUCCGGGAGCACGGCAAGGUGAGCCUCUCGUGGUUCGGCCCGAUCCCCAAGGUAACCAUCGCCGACCCCGAGCUUGCCAAGAGCGUGCUGUCCGACAAGUCCGGGCACUUCGAGAAGCCCAAGUUCCCGGCGCUGUGGAAGCUGCUCGCCAACGGCCUCUUGAACCACGAGGGCGAGAAGUGGGUCAAGCACCGGCGGCUCCUCAACCCUGCCUUCCAUCUGGAGAAGAUCAAGUGCAUGCUGCCAGAGUUUUCGGCGUGCUGCGAAGAGUUGGUGGGCAGAUGGACGGAGUCCAUCGGCUCCAGUGGAGGUAUGCACGAGCUGGAUAUUUGGCCAGAGCUCAAAAACCUGGCCGGAGAUGUCAUUUCCCGCACCGCAUUCGGCAGCAGCUACCUUGAAGGAAUGAAGAUAUUUCAGCUGCAAACCGAGCAAGCAGAGCGCCUCAUCGCAAACAUUCGGAGGAUUCUUAUUCCCGGCUACUUAUCUUUGCCAACCCCAAACAAUAAAAGGAUGUAUCAGGUCAACAACGAGGUUGAAUCGAUUCUACGCGGUUUAAUUGCGAAAAGAACUAAAGCGAUCAAGGAAGGAGAAAGCACCAAAGAUGACUUACUUGGGUUAUUGCUAGAGUCAAACAUGAGGCACACAUAUGACAAUGGUCAAUCCAGCAUGGGGAUGACAAAUGAAGAUGUCAUCGAGGAGUGCAAGACGUUCUACUUUGCAGGAAUGGAGACAACAUCGGUACUACUCAUGUGGACCAUGAUCGUUCUAAGCAUGCAUCCGGAGUGGCAGGACCGUGCAAGGGAGGAGGUCCUAGGUUUAUUUGGGAAAAACAAACCUGGAUAUGAAGGUCUAAAUCGACUUAAAACGGUGACCAUGAUCCUCUAUGAGGUUCUUCGGUUGUAUCCUCCAAGCAUUCAUUUUAGCCGGAAGACAUGCAAGAAGGUGCUAAUCGGAGACAAAAGGUACCCAGCUGGCAUGAUGAUUGAGCUCUCCGUACUACUCAUGCACCAUGACCCUGACAUUUGGGGAAGCGAUGUGCAUGAAUUCAAGCCGGAGAGGUUCGCUGAGGGGAUCUCCAAAGCGUCCAGGAAUUCAGGCGCGUUUCUUCCAUUCGGCUGGGGACCACGGAUUUGCAUCGGCCAGAAUUUUGCGCUUACUGAGGCCAAGAUGGCGAUUUGCAUGAUCCUUCAACGUUUCGACUUCGUGCUUGCCCCGUCCUAUACUCAUGCGCCAUAUACCGUGGUAACACUACAUCCAAUGCAUGGCGCACAAAUUAGGCUUGGACUCAUCUAA